rnacentral:lncRNA from 1 species
GAAUGAGUAUUGUGUUCCCCUCAAACCUCCUUCCGUUUGAACAUCUCUAAUAUCAAAACAAAGAGCUCUUGUUUAUAAGUAUAACCUUUUGGUCAAUAGGUUUGGAGCUCAAAUUUUUUGCAGGUAAUGCACGUUUAGGUUGCGUUUGGCAUUGAGGUGGAUUAUGAUAAUCUAUCUUUUUCCAACCGACUUAUGGCUAUUUUCCCAUUUGGCUAACUAACCUUUCUUACUUUCGUGUGUAUUUUUUCACAACAAUAUUAUAAAAUAAAUUCAACACGGCACGAUUUAGCAAUAUCAAACUGAGCCUUUAAAUGACAGACAUACAUUGGUUGCAGUCAAUUCAGAUUUGAAACCCAAGAGAUUUGCAACUGAGUGAGACACAAUUUAAGAGAAAUGAGUUGGAAAUUGGCUUCAUAAUUUAGAUUUUUGGAAAACUCAGAUUUAGAAUGGGAACUAACAAAUUGAGGGAGCAUGACACAGAUUAUAAAUAUUACAUGGAGGUAAAAAUAUCUUCCAGCCCAUUUCCAUGGCCACAUAUCUUCAAAUGAAAAAUGUAGUAGUAGUCACGAAGAUCGAUUGGAAAAAGGGAGUUUGGUGUGGGGUGUGGGGGGAGGGAGGGAUCUAUGGAUAACCUCUAAAGCUGGUGCCAAACAAGCCCUAAAGUGUAAUCGUCCAAAUGUUUAUUAUAAAAAUAGCAAUUACAGAAAUAAAAUAAAUAAAACUUAAAAAAUGACUGUCCAUCAGAUAAACCCGCAUUUCAGCGAUUUCGGAAAGAGAAGAAAAUAAAUAAAUCAGUCCAACUACUGGACUAGCAUGGAUAUGCGCGCGCGGCCGGAUAUGCAGCUAUCCAUGCAUGGAAUCCCUUUAAUAUCGGU